AGAGUUUGAUCAUGGCUCAGGACGAACGCUGGCGGCAGGCCUAACACAUGCAAGUCGAGCGCGCCUUCGGGCGAGCGGCGGACGGGUUAGUAACGCGUGGGAACGUGCCCAGAUCUACGGAAUAGCCACUGGAAACGGUGAGUAAUACCGUAUACGCCCUUCGGGGGAAAGAUUUAUCGGAUUUGGAUCGGCCCGCGUUAGAUUAGGUAGUUGGUGGGGUAACGGCCUACCAAGCCUACGAUCUAUAGCUGGUUUUAGAGGAUGAUCAGCAACACUGGGACUGAGACACGGCCCAGACUCCUACGGGAGGCAGCAGUGGGGAAUCUUGGACAAUGGGGGCAACCCUGAUCCAGCCAUGCCGCGUGAGUGAAGAAGGCCCUAGGGUCGUAAAACUCUUUCGCCUGUGAUGAUAAUGACAGUAGCAGGUAAAGAAACCCCGGCUAACUCCGUGCCAGCAGCCGCGGUAAUACGGAGGGGGUUAGCGUUGUUCGGAAUUACUGGGCGUAAAGCGCACGUAAGCGGAUUAGAAAGUUAGAGGUGAAAUCCCGGGGCUCAACCCCGGAACUGCCUUUAAAACUACUAGUCUAGAGUUCGAGAGAGGUGAGUGGAAUUCCGAGUGUAGAGGUGAAAUUCGUAGAUAUUCGGAGGAACACCAGUGGCGAAGGCGGCUCACUGGCUCGAUACUGACGCUGANGUGCGAAAGUGUGGGGAGCAAACAGGAUUAGAUACCCUGGUAGUCCACACCGUAAACGAUGAAUGCCAGUCGUCGGGUAGUAUACUAUUCGGUGACACACCUAACGGANUAAGC
rnacentral:rRNA from 1 species